CCCGGGAGUACGACCCAGGGAAAACCCUGGGAUUAAUACCGGAUGAGACGGGACCCGCGAUGGCGGGAUCCGGGAAAGGCGCUGCGGCGCCGCCGGGGGGAUGAGUCUGCGUCCCAUUAGCUAGACGGCGGGGUAACGGCCCACCGUGGCGACGAUGGGUAGCCGGCCUGAGAGGGUGGACGGCCACAUUGGAACUGAGACACGGUCCAGACUCCUACGGGAGGCAGCAGCUAAGAAUCUUCCGCAAUGGGCGAAAGCCUGACGGAGCGAACCGCCGCGUGAACGAAGAAGGCCGUGAGGUUGUAAAGUUCUUUUCGGGAGGGGGAACAACCGUGGCAGGGAAUGGCCGCGGGAUGACGUGAAUCCCGGAAUAAGCCCCGGCUAACUACGUGCCAGCAGCCGC
rnacentral:rRNA from 1 species